AUGUUAAUAUAUGCAUAAGAAAAUUGUGUUUCUUAAUCUCUGAAGAAACACUUAUCACUAGGAACCGCUUAAUUCUUUUCCUGUGCUUGAUUUAUUAGCUUAUGAAAUUAUGGUAAUAGUUUGCAUGUUAAUGGUUCUGGGGCUCAAAUGACCUGAUUUUAAUAAUGAAGUAAUUUAUGCAGUAAAUGUAAUCAGCAUCUAUGAAUCUCACUUAAAAGAACAUGCCAGUGAUUACCUAUGCUAAAAACAAAUGACUGUCAGCAUGGUAUACACUGUAUGUUAUGACAAGUAACUGGGAUGUGUUCAGCUCAGCACACCCUUUAGGCUGGCUGGGUCCUACUCUGACAAAGCCCACCAAAGCUGGAAACUGCAGCUCUAACAACAGUUUACAGACCUGCCAUUGCCAGCUGACUUUUGCUCUUGGUCAUCUUUCAAGGAAAAGGACAAGGAUAGGAGAUGGGCAUCACCAGAACUGAAGGUGGAACCGGUAGGUAUUCCUCCAUGAAUAGAAGAAUCCUGUGGGACAGAGACCUCACACAUCUGGACAAAGUGGGUUGCAGGAAGAGAGGAAAGUGUUUGUUGAGGGAAGUUGCAAGUUCUAUGAAUUACAAGGAAAAGGAGACUUUUAUUAAGGAUUUGAACUGCACGGCAUAUAAAAGAUGCAACCCCCUGCAACAUUUGGUAAGCCUAUGUCAAAAGGAUCCAUCACAAGGAUUCUUUCCUACAACAUCUGUAUUUACAGACCUGCUCACUGUCAGGAUGUAUAUGAACCAUGCCUCUGUUCCCUUGUCUCAUUUACAGUGCUGCUCCCCAACAUGAGAAGAAAUACUAGACUGGGCUUUGAAAAGCAAACAGCAAUGCUUUCUUUACAGCAAGGCAAGCUUGUGUUUUGAUAACCUGCUGAACACUGAGAUUCAUUUUGGUAUAAAAGAUUCAAAAAUAUAUUACUAGCUGCCAAAUAUGAUCUAACUGUUCAAACACACAGACAGAAGCUGAGGGAGGUCAGAUUGGACAUUAGCCAAAAUGUACAAAGUAAAUGGAAGAAACCCCAUUGAUUCAGCAGAGCUGGAUCAUUUGUUCACCAAAGAAAUCCCUAAGGGCCAGAAGUCCUCACCACUUCCAAGGACCAAAACUGUAGAACUGUAUUUUGUAAUUAAUAAAUACACUGCAUAUAGCACCUUAAGCAUGAUACAAAACUGUCUUCAAACACCAUUUCCAGAGCCGCUAGUUUUUCAGAGCAAAAAGGUGUUCUGUUCUGGGGUAUGGCUAAUGCUCUCUAUUCCAGAAUCCAGACUGCUAGCUUUAUGAAAUGUACGUCAUAUCCUAAAGGGAAAACAGGCAGUAGGAUAAGAUACUUCAGCAUUUUUAAAGUUUUAUUAUCUCAGUCAUAGGGUCCAUGGAAGCCCAAGGAAGGUCUGGAUCAUGCAGCAGAAGCCCUUCAAACCCUGCCCCAGAGACCGUGAAUGAAUAUACAGAGACUGUGUAUUCACUGGGGUGCUGAGUAGGGCCUCCCGGAACCUCACUAAGGGAGCCCCGGGAGCGAAGGCAGCCAAAGCCAAGGCUGCUGCCUGCACGCAGCUUCAGAGGAUGGCGAAGCUGACCCUCCACAUGAGCCCGGGAUAGGAACUGAGCGCGGCAAAACGAAACCUGGGACGAGCUGGGCUUAUUCUUCAAGCGGCGAAGUGCCCAGCUCCCGAGGAGCCCCGUCUGGGCUGGACUCCGCUGGUGUGAGCAGAGCGAACCCGAUCAAAGGCUGCGCGUUUGCUCUGGAGGCGGAUGCCGUGCCCGCCGUUGCCAUGGCGCCGUGACAGCCUAAUGAGCUGUCGCUGUCACCCGAGCCGCUGUCACCGGGCUGCCCUGCCCCCGCGCUCCGCAGAGAGGAGCUUGUGCAGCCCCGGGGAGAGGCUCAUCGAUGGGCCCUGGCCGCUCCGAGCUGCCUGCCCCGUCCCUCUCGCAGGCCCAGACAUCCCUGGCUCGCCAAACAGGAUUUCUGAAAUUUCCCCUCCUCCACUUCCCCCGUGUUGUGCCUGGAGGACAUUUCCCCUGACAAGAGGGACCUGCUGUCGGCGGCAGAGGCAGGGUCAGGAAGGCGGAAAAUAAAAGGAGAAAUUUCAGAGUUCAGACAGUUUUCUUGGCAGACCGUGACAGCUCAAAGGGGAGUACUGGAUCUUCCCCACUGAAAAGAAGAAGAAAAAUCUCCAGGCUUGCUACAUUAAAAGGUCAUCAAGGAAAUGAGAGACAACUUGGGGAAAGAAGAAAAAACGUGUAGCACUCCCACAUUACAAACAGAAUUUUAAGCAGACUUUUAAGGAUAUAGAUGAAGAACCUGUUUUGGUCAGAGCAUGAUACUGAGCCAGUCUGGCAAAAUAGAAAGAGCAUCAGCUAUCACUGUGCACUGAAGUGCCCAAAAAGUUACAACUGAUUUACAAGAACUGGUUUCCUCAACUGCUUCUGCAGAGUGCUCUGCUAGCAUCCAGGAAGACACAAUGCCAUCUGCCUGCAGUGAAGAAGAUGUGAAGAGACCUUCACUGUUCAAUCAAUAAACCUCAGGAGUGUCCUGUGCCCUGUGGGGCCUCCACAAAAGUUCCAUACAGCUGGUGUCCCUGACAAGUCACAUUUGAGACUGCCUCCCACAGAGCCUGCUGUGAGUCAGCUCUGUGUGGUGAAUGCUGGAGACUGGGUAUGGCCUGCACUGUCAGCGCCAUGCAGUGUGCACAGGACUGCCAUGUCAGAGGGACAGCCUGCAAUGGCCACACCUAUGUACCUGUCUGUCUGAAAAAUACCCGACCAGUUCCAGUUAGGCAGCACUCUUCAGGCAGAAAUAAGAUCUCUUUGUGAGGUAAAGGCUGUCAAAAGAAUACAUACAGGCUGUAUUCCAAUGAUGGG